GACGGAUGCUGGCGGCGUGCCUAAUACAUGCAAGUUGAGCGAUGAAGAUUGGUGCUUGCACCAAUUUGAAGAGCAGCGAACGGGUGAGUAACGCGUGGGGAAUCUGCCUUUGAGCGGGGGACAACAUUUGGAAACGAAUGCUAAUACCGCAUAACAACUUUAAACAUAAGUUUUAAGUUUGAAAGAUGCAAUUGCAUCACUCAAAGAUGAUCCCUCGUUGUAUUAGCUAGUUGGUGAGGUAAAGGCUCACCAAGGCGAUGAUACAUAGCCGACCGGAGAGGGAGAUCGGCCACAUUGGGACUGAGAGACGGCCCGAACUCCUACGUGAGGCAGCAGUAGGGAAGCGUCGGCAAUGGACGAAAGUCUGACCUAGCAACGCCGCGUGAGUAAAGAAGGUUUUUGGAUCGUAAAACUCGGUUGGUAGGGAAGAACGUUGGUGAGAGAGGAAAGCUCAUCAAGUGACGGUAACUACCCAGAAAGGUACGGCUAACUACGUGCCAGCCGCCGCCGUAA
rnacentral:rRNA from 1 species